GGAUACAGGAUUCAUUUUUGCUCUUUUCUUGACGUAAUUCCGUCGUAACUUAAAAGCAAGGCAAUCGGCAACCAUAAAAGAUAUUGUUAUUCCACACACUGUGUUGCACUUCUCCCAUCAACCGUGUAACUCCCCUCAAUACUUACACGGUGGUUCCCUGCUACAGGCGCCUGCUACAGUACUGACGCCUUCUUUCGCAUUCUCUUUUGGCAAUAUUGUCGCGGUGGUCUAAAAAUAGUGCUCUCACGGUCUUUGCGCAACUGUAAAACGUCUUUAAAGGGAAGAGAUAGACAAACGAGCAACGCGCAAGGUCGUCAUCGGACGUCACGAACAAAAACGGUAAAACACUGGAGAAGGCCCCCCCCCCCCCCCCUUCUAGAAUCUUUUGUGUGCAGCACUGUGACCUGUCAUUUUUGUAGCACAGUGUAUGUUUCAUGUGGUCAAAAAAUGUUUGAUAUAAACAUUGUGCAUUGUUCUUUAAUACUGUCACUAUGUAACAUGAUAAUAUACAUUGUAACAAGUGUUUUGAAAUGUUGAUAUUCUUAAUUUUUCCCUUUUUACCGAAUAUAUAUGCCCGGUAACAAGUAUGCAUCGAAGCAAUCCGUUACCGUUCGGAAACACCGUGCAAGUUAUUGGACAGAUUGUCUCGCGCUUGUGCGACCGAGAAUAAGUUCAGUAGCCUCUUUAAGCCAAAAUGACUGCUCAAGAUUAGAAGGAAGGGGUGGGGAGAGGACUUUAUUGAAUAAUAAGGAAUAAUUCAUUCGACUUUAUUCAACCAUUUUUGACCACACUGAAAGCACACUGUGAAGCUUUCGCAAUGGGUACUGCGAAUUGCAUACAUUUAGGCGCAUAUAGUAUAGUGUCGAACAAAUUUUGUCAGGGUGGGGGCCUUCUCGAGUCUUUUACCUUUCUCGGAAAGUUAGGUGCGAAAUGUAGUUUAUUUCGAUUCGAUUCGAAAAGUACUGCAGUACCGAAAUAGGCAAAGUAGAAAGUCGUAUAUUCGAGGAUGUAUCAUCUUCUUUUCCUUUUUUGGCCUGACGACCUCUUAUGUCAUGCCUGCUAUUUCGGGCUUACUAGACUUAUUGAUACCGUUUAGUUGUUUAUUCAAUCCUCACUAGGGGGGAACGGCCCAGAUGGGAUUUGAGCCCCGGCCCUGCCGUGGUAUGAGGAUGGACCAUAUAAUCCUAUAAAAUCCACAAUUCUAGUCAUAUUUUAUUUCGUGGUAGCAACAAAGCAACCACCUACUGUAACAACCCAGACAGUAGAAUAUAGAUUUUUGAGCUCAACUCGCAGAGAAUCGAGACCUCUUGGUAAUAUUUGUUUAUAUGCCUGUAUUUAAAUCCUUUUUCACCGGUUGCGGGCACUUUGAUGGAAGCCAUAAAAAUAUUUCUUAUUGAAGUAUCAUUUUUAUUUAUUUAUGUUUAUAUUUCUAAUUAGACGGCUUGACGCCGUAUUGAAAACACCGCGUGUGUUGACGAUUACAAGUACAUAUAAAUUAACAAGGCAUUUCCUCGCUUUUAUUUUGCCUUAUCCCGGGCAUGCUCGGAUGUUGGUAUGUGGUGAUUGUAGUGUAGCAAUCAAUCCGUGUAGCGGAUCUGGACUGUAACAAUACAAAAAGAAAGCAGGAAUAUGUACAGUACAAACAUUUGCCUGCGCACAGUGUUCCUCACUGUAGUAUCAUUUUUGUUUUUGAACAAUUUAGAUUUUUUAGCUUAAUAACUUUCGGGGCAUGCUAUUUGGAUAAAAGGUUUACUAGACUAAAUGAUUCUAUCUACGUGGUAUCUAGGUAAUCACCAUACUACGUGGAUAUGAUCCAGACACUUAACAUACAUUCUUUCUGAGUUUUUUGUUAGCCACAUACACAUUAAAAAAUUGGUUCAGACUAUAUCAGAGGUACAUUUGUUCAUAAAUUAUUGUUAUUGUUGUACGUCGCGCACAGGUUGUAUUAUAUUCGGUAGUUUGAGAACCCAUCUAUCUGGUGUCCACUGUAUCGGCUCGUUUUAUUUGUCUUGUCGUAUACACAUGACGACAUAAUUUGUUACAUGUGUGUAUCUAUUUUUCUCAAUACAUUAAUAAACAACGUCAAUAGAUAUAAAAAAAACAUGUGAGAAAGUUUGCGUGUUUGUAUUAGAGAGACAGAGUAGAAAAAAGCGGGAGAGAUAGAAAAUCAGAGAAAAGGAAAUUAGUAUCCAACGUUGACGAAGUAGAAAGUUACGUUUCAACGAAGAGAGAGUUGCGCCGUCUUUCCACACCACAACCAGCAGCCAAAAAAUAAAUAAAUAAAUGGACUCAAUGACGGUUGAUACGACUGGAAAGGAAAUAAUUCGGCUUUGUGGUAGAGCGUUAUAUGUUGGUAGGCAGGAAAAGCUCAAAAACAAAAAAAUGCUUCUCUCUGAAUUAUUGAUCAAAUAUUGUGAGUCUAGGCGAGAAGCCAUAUGCUUCUAGGGUAACGUUUGAAAUGGCCGGUUCAGAUAUCAUACCGACGGUAGUAUGAAAUUGAAGUAACAUUAAUUUACUUGUCCGAUGUAACAGCCAUUUUGCGAUCUUUGCUUCCCGCAAAGUCGAUUCCUUAAACCGGGGUUUCCUUUAUAAUUUACAUAAACAUACGCAUGUAUAUGACCUUAACUUCGAAAAAUAAUUGUAAGUAUAAUUUCGAUUUGAAAUAAAUGGCUUAUUCUGUAGAAAAAAAAAAAAAAACUAAAUGAUUGGACGACGAGUUGGUUGUACGUAUCACAACAUCAUAAGUGUUGUUUUGUAUACCAAUGUGAACUUGAUAAGUGCACGUUUGAAAAGUAAACUACAUCAGCCUUGCACAAUCUUUAUGUGGAAAAAAAAAGAAACGAAAA